GACGAACGCUGGCGGCGUGCUUAACACAUGCAAGUCGAACGGAAAGGCCCCUUUGGGGGUACUCGAGUGGCGCACGGGUGAGUAACACGUGAGUAACCUGCCCUUGUCUUCUUGAUAACUUCUGGAGACUGGGGCGAAUACCGGAUAGGAAUCCUUGCUGCAUGGUGGGGGUUGGAGAGCUUCGGCGGGUUUGGAUGGACUCGCGGCUUAUCAGCUUGUUGGUGGGGUAGUGGCUUACCAAGGCUUUGACGGGUAGCCGGCCUGAGAGGGCGACCGGCCACAUUGGGACUGAGAUACGGCCCAGACUCCUACGGGAGGCAGCAGUGGGGAAUAUUGCACAAUGGGCGGAAGCCUGAUGCAGCAACGCCGCGUGCGGGAUGACGGCCUUCGGGUUGUAAACCGCUUUCAGCAGGGGCGAAGCUUGUGGUGACGGUACCUGCAGAAGAAGCACCGGCUAACUACGUG
rnacentral:rRNA from 1 species